rnacentral:rRNA from 1 species
ACGCUGGCGGCGUGCUUACACAUGCAAGUCGAACGAUGAAGCUGGAGCUUGCUCUAGUGGAUUAGUGGCGAACGGGUGAGUAACACGUGAGCAAUCUGCCCUUGACUCUGGGAUAACUGCGGGAAACUGUAGCUAAUACCGGAUACGACACCUUGGGGCAUCCCGAGGUGUGGAAAGAAUUUCGGUCAAGGAUGAGCUCGCGGCCUAUCAGCUUGUUGGUGAGGUAAAAGCUCACCAAGGCGACGACGGGUAGCCGGCCUGAGAGGGUGACCGGCCACACUGGAACUGAGAUACGGUCCAGACUCCUACGGGAGGCAGCAGUGGGGAAUAUUGCACAAUGGGCGCAAGCCUGAUGCAGCAACGCCGCGUGAGGGAUGAAGGCCUUCGGGUUGUAAACCUCUUUUAUCAGGGAAGAAGCGAAAGUGACGGUACCUGAAGAAAAAGCACCGGCUAACUACGUGCCAGCAGCCGCGGUAAUACGUAGGGUGCAAGCGUUGUCCGGAAUUAUUGGGCGUAAAGAGCUCGUAGGCGGUUUGUCGCGUCUGCUGUGAAAAUCCAAGGCUCAACCUUGGACCUGCAGUGGGUACGGGCAGACUAGAGUGCGGUAGGGGAGAUGGGGAUUCCUGGUGUAGCGGUGGAAUGCGCAGAUAUCAGGAGGAACACCAAUGGCGAAGGCACAUCUCUGGGCCGUAACUGACGCUGAGGAGCGAAAGCGUGGGGAGCGAACAGGAUUAGAUACCUGGUAGUCCACGCCGUAAACGGUGGGUGCU